GAUGAACGCUAGCUACAGGCUUAACACAUGCAAGUCGAGGGGCAGCAUGACGAUAGCUUGCUAUUGUUGAUGGCGACCGGCGCACGGGUGAGUAACGCGUAUCCUACCUGCCCUUGUCCAUCGGAUAACCCGUCGACAGGCGGCCUAACACGAUAUGCAGUUCUCAGCAGGCAUCUAACGAGAACGAAAUGUAAAGGAGAAGGAUGGGGAUGCGUCUGAUUAGCUUGUUGGCGGGGUAACGGCCCACCAAGGCGACGAUCAGUAGGGGUUCUGAGAGGAAGGUCCCCCACAUUGGAACUGAGACACGGUCCAAACUCCUACGGGAAGCAGCAGUGAGGAAUAUUGGUCAAUGGGCGAGAGCCUGAACCAGCCAAGUAGCGUGCAGGAUGACGGCCCUAUGGGUUGUAAACUGCUUUUAUGCGGGGAUAAAGUGAGCCACGUGUGGCUUAUUGCAGGUACCGCAUGAAUAAGGACCGGCUAAUUCCGUGCCAGCAGCCGCCGUAA
rnacentral:rRNA from 1 species